rnacentral:rRNA from 1 species
GUGGGGAAUAUUGCACAAUGGGGGAAACCCUGAUGCAGCGACGCCGCGUGAAGGAAGAAGUAUCUCGGUAUGUAAACUUCUAUCAGCAGGGAAGAAUUAGGACGGUACCUGACUAAGAAGCCCCGGCUAACUACGUGCCAGCAGCCGCGGUAAUACGUAGGGGGCAAGCGUUAUCCGGAUUUACUGGGUGUAAAGGGAGCGUAGACGGAUGGACAAGUCUGAUGUGAAAGGCUGGGGCUCAACCCCGGGACUGCAUUGGAAACUGCCCGUCUUGAGUGCCGGAGAGGUAAGCGGAAUUCCUAGUGUAGCGGUGAAAUGCGUAGAUAUUAGGAGGAACACCAGUGGCGAAGGCGGCUUACUGGACGGUAACUGACGUUGAGGCUCGAAAGCGUGGGGAGCAAACAGGA